UACGUAGGGAGCAAGCGUUGUCCGGAAUCAUUGGGCGUAAAGCGCGCGUAGGUGGCCCCAUAAGUCCGCUGUGAAAGUCAAAGGCUCAACCUUUGAAAGCCGGUGGAUACUGUGGGACUAGAGUACGGAAGAGGCGAGUGGAAUUCCUGGUGUAGCGGUGGAAUGCGCAGAUAUCAGGAGGAACACCGGUGGCGAAGGCGGGAUCUCUGGGCCUUACCUGACGCUGGAGGAGCGAAAGCAUGGGGAGCAAACAGGA
rnacentral:rRNA from 1 species